UACGUAGGUGGCAAGCGUUGUCCGGAUUUAUUGGGCGUAAAGCGAGCGCAGGCGGUUCCUUAAGUCUGAUGUGAAAGCCCACGGCUCAACCGUGGAAGGUCAUUGGAAACUGGGGAACUUGAGUGCAGAAGAGGAGAGUGGAAUUCCAUGUGUAGCGGUGAAAUGCGUAGAUAUAUGGAGGAACACCAGUGGCGAAGGCGGCUUGCUGGGUCAUAACUGACGCUGAAGCACGAAAGCUUGGGGAGCAAACAGGAUUAGA
rnacentral:rRNA from 1 species